GUGUUUCUGUUCCUGUGGAGUGCAGCUGAAAUGACCGCUACUGCUCCUUUCACAGUAUAUUUACAUGAGCUUCCUGUGGACAUCAGCGCCAUUUAAAAUUAAGGGCCUCAUUCUCUCAUCCAGGCUGGACUGCAGUGGCGUGAUCUCAGCUCACUGCAACUUCUGCCUCCCGAGCUCAAGUGAUCCUUCCACCUCAGCCUCCCCAGUACCCGAGACUACAGGCACACACCACCAUGCCUGGCUAAUUUUUGUAUUUUUUGUAGAGAUGGGGUUGCAUCAUGUUGCCCAGGCUGGUCUUGAACUCCUAAGCUCAAGCAGUCUGCCCUGCCUUGGCCUCCCAAAGUGCUGGGAUUACAGGCUGGAACACAGAUGUGGGGCUGGAAGUGGAGCAGCCCCUUUUAGCCAUGAGGCCCAAAGCCACAUGCUAAGGAUGGUGAAGCAGGGGAUAGAAAGAGCCUGUGUCUUUGCUGACUUCCUUAAGCCACGGCACCAGCCUGGGCCUGCCCUACUCUGGACAUCUAAAUGUCAGGAGCUAAGAAUCAAGUCAGUCUAGAGGUGUUCGUUGCCAUGUGGAGAGAUCCUUCCCAAGAAGAAAGAUGCUACAAAGUGUCCUGGAAAUCCUCUUUGCCCAUCCAGAUCCACCCUCCCUAGCCUGCUCUGUAACUCAGGAAGCUGCUUUUCAUGGUUCACAUAAACCAGGCUCCUGUACCCUCCAGAUAGGUCCAUCCUAUGGGUGGUACCAGCAGGAGACCAGAGAGAUGAAGGAGGGAAAAAAAGAACAUUAGGGGUUGAAUUGUAUCACCCCAAAAUUCAUAUGGUGAAGUAUAACCCCUUCGGAAUGUAACCUUAUUGGAAAUGUCAGAGGCACGUGAACCAGAGCAACUCCAUCUUGAAUAGGGGCUGGGUAAAAUGAGGCUGAGACCUAUUGGGCUGCAUUCCCAGACGGUUAAGGCAUUCCAAGUCACAGGAUGAGAUAGGAGGUUGGCACAACAUAUAGGUCAUAAAGACCUUGCUGAUGAAACAGUUGCAGUAAAGAAGCCAGCCAAAGCGCACCAAAACCAAGAUGGCGACAAGAGUGACCUCUGGGCAUCCUCACUGCUACACUCCCAGCAGCGCCAUGACAGUUUACAAAUGCCAUGGCAACAUCAGAAAGUUACCCUAUAUCAUCUAAACAUGGGAGGCAUGAAUAAUCCAACCCUUGCUUAGCAUAUACUCAAGAAAUAACCAUAAAAAUGGGCAGCCAGCAGCCCUCAGGGCUGCUCUGUUUAUGGAGUAGGCAUUCUUUUAUUCCUGUACUUUCCUAAUAAACUUGCUUUCACUUUA